CUCUGCAGUAAAAUGGUGGCUGCAUGGAAACUAUCCAGCACUUUGGACGUCCUGCAGAUUACUCCAAUUUCCUUAUCUUUCAGUCUGCAUCAAGUAAUAUUUGGAACAUUACAACUGAGAUGAAGAAAAACAGAAGAAGGAAAGCUAAGAGUACUUUGCAUUUUCCUUUAUCUUUUGGAAGUGCAAUGGCCAUCUUUACUUUGGAAGGAGUUCCAGAUGGAAAAUUAAAAGCUGCUUUAGAGUGCCAAGUUUGCAUUAUUUAAGAUGAAGGCAUGGACAUGUUUACAUCAGUGAGACUGAAGAAAAAGUCAAUGAUGCCAUGAGAAUUCAGAUGACUAAUUUGAAUUCUCCUCUUACUAGUUAUUGUUUAGCAUAUAGAGAUCAAACUUGUUUUAUAUUGUAAUAAUUAAGAAAAGAAAAAUAAACUACAAUAAA